CCUACGGGUGGCAGCAGUGGGGAAUAUUGCACAAUGGGGGAAACCCUGAUGCAGCGACGCCGCGUGAGUGAAGAAGUCAUUCGGUUUGUAAAGUUCUAUCAUCAGGGAAGAAUAUGACGCUAUAUGAGUAAGAAGCCCCGGCUAACUCCGUGCCAGAAGCCGCGGUAAUACGUAGGGGGCAAGAGUUAUCCGGAUUUACUGGGUGUAAAGGGAGCGUAGACGGGUGUGCAAGUCUGGAGUGAAAGGCGGGGGCUCAACCCCCGGACUGCUUUGGAGACUGUACGGCUGGAGUGUCGGAGAGGUAAGUGGAAUUCCUAGUGUAGCGGUGAAAUGCGUAGAUAUUAGGAGGAACACCAGUGGCGAAGGCGGCUUACUGGACUGUAACUGACGUUGAGGCUCGAAAGCGUGGGGAGUAAACAGGAUUAGAUACCCUGGUAGUC
rnacentral:rRNA from 1 species